rnacentral:rRNA from 1 species
GGUGACUCUGAAUAAUUUCACGGAUCGCACGGUCUAGUACCGGCGACAAUCCUAACAAGUAUCUACCCUAUCAACUUCCGAUGGUAGUUUAUGUGACUACCAUGGUUGUAACGGGUAACGGAGAAUUAGGGUUUGACUCCGGAGAGGCAGCCUGAGAAACGGCUACCACUUCC